CAUCUUUUCUAGAUUUUAUUUGAGAUCUGACCUGCCCUAUGAUUUAUUUAAAUGGCCGCGGUAUAUUGACCGUGCAAAGGUAGCAUAAUCAUUAGUUUAUUAAUUGUAGACUUGUAUGAAUGGUUGGACGAAAUAUUUUCUGUCUCAUAUUUAUAUUUAAAACUUAAAUUUUGAGUUAAAAUGCUUAAAUUUUUUUAUAGGACGAGAAGACCCUAUAGAUCUUUAUUUUUAAAUUAUUUAUAUUUUUUUGUUUAUUUUUUUAUAAAUUUUUUAUUUAUUUUGUUGGGGUGACAUUAAUAUAUAAUUAACUAUUUAUUUUAUUUAUUCAAUUAUUUUUGUAUAUUUGACCUUUUAUUAUUGUUAUAAGAUUUAGAUACCUUAGGGAUAACAGCGUAAUUCUUUUUGAGAGUUCUUAUCGACGAAAGAGAUUGCGACCUCGAUGUUGGAUUAAGAUUAUAUUUAGGUGUAGGUGCUUAAUUAUUAAGUCUGUUCGACUUUUAAAUUCUUAC
rnacentral:rRNA from 1 species